rnacentral:rRNA from 1 species
AAUGAACGCUGGCGGCAUGCCUAACACAUGCAAGUCGAACGAUACCAUCGGGUCUAGUGGCGAACGGGUGCGAAACAGGUGGGAAUCUGCCCUUAGGUUCGGAAUACCGGUUAGAAAUGACUCCUAAUACCGGAUGAUGCCGAAUACCAAAAGAUUUAUCGGAAAAGGUGGAGCCGGCGUGGGAUUAGGUAGUUGGUGGGGUAAAGGCCUACCAAGCCGACGAUCCUUAGCUUGUCUGAGAGGAUGAUCAGCAACACUGGGACUGAGACACGGCCCAGACUCCUACGGGAUGCAGGAGUGGGGGAUAUUGGAAAACGGGCGGAAGGCUGAAGCAGCUAGGCCGCGAGAGUGAUGAAGGCCUGAGGGUUGUAAAGCCCUUUUACCAGGGAUGAUAAUGACAGUACCUGGAGAAUAAGCACCGGCUAACUACGUG